rnacentral:misc_RNA from 1 species
GUCGAGUUGAGUAUUAAAAUAAAAUUAAAAAAUAAUUCACGCAAUAUACAAGUAAAAUGACUAAUUUAAUAAGACAUUGUAGAAUUCAUAUAAACACAUUUUUUUAAUAUUUUCAUUUUUGAAUAUAUGAUUUUUCCCCUCUUUCUCCCUGCCUAGUCUGCCCUCCCUCCCCUUUCAUUCUUCUCUGCUAGUACCAUCUUCUUUAAAACACAGGCAGUAGAGUAACGAAUUCAGCUCACCAAGCUCAUCCAAUGCGAAAAAUAAAAGAAUCUAUCAUAAAACCAAAAAUUGACUAAAGCAAUAAAAAAAAAUAGUGAUACUGAUCUCCCAUCAUCAUGAAAGGAUCAAUGAGAUGCUUGGCGUGAACCAAAGUAAAAUUACAUUCUCCAUUGUGCACACAAAAUCUUCAAUCUUCAAACUGCUGCGCUCAUUGCAAUAGAAUUAAUACAAGAAAUUUCUCCUGUAAUUUGAUCAAGAGCAAUGUUCUGUUUCAGUAUUGAUGUAUGAGAAACGCCACUAAUUCUUAUUACCUUAAGGGAUUGAUUUUUGUUCUCAGCAAACAGAGAUUCCAAUGCUAACAAGCUAGCCAUAUUCACUGUGCCAUCUCCAUCUCCAUAGACAAUUUCAGGUUGGUCCUCAUAACAAUUUUUCCUAUACAACAAUGUCUCUGCUGUCUUCACACCACUCCCAAUUAUACAAGUGAUAGGAACCCCAGGGGCAAUUGUCUUCUCAAUCAAGGGUAAAAUGCGAGAUUUAUAAGGAUAAACACCUUCUGAAAAUCCAAUAUUCUCAAGAAAUUGUGCUAUUUCAUGGGCUGAAUAUGUAGUAUUUGGAGUAAUAACGAGUUGUUUUGUACCAAAUAUUGUAGGAUUAGGUAGAAGCCAUAAGUUGGUCUCUGAGCUUCUCUGCUCUCCCCUUACUAGCAGUGGAUCAACCAGGGGCACUCCUAGUGUAUUCCCUGAAGCAAAAGUAAGCAUUACGUCUACAGCACCACCCCAUGGCGCAGAAAGUGCAACAAAGUGUUUAAUAAAUUUUUGUCGCCAUGAAGGUGGGUUUCGGUUGAGAAGUUGAAGGACAAAAAGGCCUCCUAAGCUAUGCGAGAGAAUUAUCACUGGCCUUCCUCCAUUAAGGCUGCUUGCUCUCUCUAUUAAAUCUUUUAAAUCUUGUAAAAACGUUGAACCAACCUUGCAUGGGUGACCUUCUGCAGCUAACCCAUAUCGAAAAUCGUAAGGAGCUCCAAAGAGUGUUUCACCAUCGACAUAGCCAAUCUCUUCUAGAGAUUCUACCAGCGGUGCCAUGUAUUCUGUAAUAUGCCUGUGAGUAAUCAUCCAAUCAGUGAACGAAAGAUGCAAUUAUGCAAUUGGGUUCAUUAGAAUUAAGACCAAAAAAUUUAGAACGAAACAGGAGCCUUACUUCAGGUUAGGAUCAAGGUAGAGAAGCGACUGAGUAGAGCCAAAAUUAGGGACUCUGGUUUCCACCCCAUUGGCAUUGCAGUAAUCAUCCAAAUAUUUAUCAUAAUAAAGCAUCAUACGAUCAGCAAAGCACUCUGUGAAUGGUGCCAGUAGGACACUAGGAUCAAACCAAAGCCUGAACCACCCUUCCUUUUGCUUCACUAGUGGGUACCAACGGUUGCACAACAGGCUCGUGGGCUUGUAGCCACGGUUUAGCCUGGCUUCUAGCUGAUUUCCACCACUCCCGGGUACUAAAAUCAGUGGGUGGAGGUUGCCGAUUGCUUGACACGAGGACAACACCAUUGCUGUCGAUAAUAUUCUCAGUAUAAG